GGGGGAAUAGCUCAGUCGGCAGAGCAAUGCUGUAAAAAGAGCUUCUUCGCUUCAUUACUCGAUUCUCCUUUUGGUCCGAGGUGCUGGAAAAGCAUUCAACGGUUCUUGUUGGUUCAAAUCCAGCCAGUAUCCCGCCGA
rnacentral:tRNA from 1 species